CCAACCGCCAACAGCGCAACACGAAUAAAAAGGACUGCAAGCCUUUAUGCUUUUAUCGUUGGCUUUUCUACAGAAAUUACCACUGUUGUUGAGUCUCCUGUAACUGAAAGAUAGAUUCAUAUUUGGAAAGAAUGGUUAGUACAGCAUGCCAAACUGACCCCUGGGUGCCAGAGUGUUCCUAUGCUGCGGUGGAGAAGAGGUCCACCAGGACCAUCACUAAAGAGCUCGAGGCCCAGCUAGAUUGCGCUCACAACCAUCAGUAUACAACCGAGUCCUGCCCCUAUAAGCCACAGAUGGAGCUGACGGAGAGUGAGAGUGAGAUCAGUGAAGACCAGAACUCGCUGUAUGAAUCUGAGAGCUCAGAAUCACAAUCAUCACAGUGCGAGCCAAGAUAUACUAUCGAAGAGUGUGUGCAAGAUCCAAAAUACAUAGUCUUUGAGAGCAAGCUGAAGGAGUUGUUCAAUGUCUGCCAUGAGCCAGGAUGUCGAGCAGGUGUCAUCAGUUCAUCCCUGAAAAGAGCCAUUCUUUUACAUUCUGGCUACAAUUGGUGACAGUCCACUAAUCGUAUCUGGAGACGCACAGUGUGAUUCGCCAGGCCAUUGUGCCUCCUUUGGCACUUACACCAUCCUGGACUCUGCUUCCCACCUGGUCCUUGCCCAGCAGACUGUGCAUGUGACUGAAGAACAGCUACUGGUUAGAGACGGAAGGAUUAGAGAGAUGCCUGCAACACAUUGAGGCAAUCAUAUCUACCUACGGGAGAAGGAUGGCCAGCCACACAGGAGGGUGAUUUUUACUAAGGAGGAGAAGGAGGCCGUGCUGACCGAGAUGCAUGCUGGCCAUUUUGGAGUGAAGCGCAUGAUUGCCAAAAUCAACCUACGCUUCUUCUGACGAGGAAUUGUCAAGGAGGUGGACA